CUUAAAGCGCGGCAUCUCGUGCGUUUGCCUUCGAGUAAAGUGUUCGCGUGCGCGUUCAAGCAAAGCGUUUGUUCGAAGGGGAUUCCGUAGAAUAUCCCAAGUGCCAAGUGAAACGCUGCUAGUGUUGUGAUCAUACGAGAAGAUUCUCAGAGCGAAUUGCUUCGUCUCGAUAUUCGUUGUGUCUCGGCAUGUGCAUUCUUUGAAACGGUCGCGAGUUGCGUUUCACGACAUUAUGUGAUAUCACUCGUCACACCACUUUCCCGCCGUCAUCUUCGCUCCUAUUGGUCAAACGUUUCGUUUUUCUCAGAAACUUUCGUAUAUUUCGCGAAUUGUGCUGUUAUGGUAUUGAGAGUGCCGAUGCAAUAACGUACGAUACGUGAACUUGUCGUGGAAUUGAUUGUAUUCGUUUAGGAAGUGCAGCAUCAUGUGCUCGUCGCAUUGUUUUCGUGUCAUAAACUUUUCGUGUACACGUACUCUGUCCAAAAGGACAAUUAAGCUGAAGUGCCGCGCGCGUUUUACUCGCGUUCGUGUGCGAUUUAUCUUUGGAAUGCCGAGUAAUUUUUAUCGACGUAUUUUCGCGAGUGAAUCUGAUGUAAACGUUAUGAAAAAGAAAACAGGCGCAUCAUCGUUUCGCGUGGGAAUCACAUUUCUUCCCGUUGUCCUUCCGUUUGAAAAUGAUAAUGGAGUGAUCGUCGGGAGUGUCGUACAAAGUAUCGCGAUUUUGCAUUCCAGUUAUUACAAGAAAUCUUGCACGAAUGUCACAAAGGAGCAACGAUAAGGCAAAAUUCAAAGGGACGAGGAGGAAUAGAAGACUUAGGAAAGAGCAUCAGGCAUCGGCGGAGCAACCCAUGAAUUCAUGCAGUUUCAACUCCGUUGUUGCGCAUCAGUGUUGAAAUCCCAUGAAACGAACGAUGAAACGAAUGAUAAAACGAACGAACCACCGAAUGUGUACGACAACGCAAACAGCAAGAGGGUACGAUGAAUGGUCUUUAUCAAGACGGGAGAGGGAGAGGGGGAGGUAUAUCUCGAAGAGUCCGAAGAAAUGAAAAACGGUAAAGAAAAGGUGAGAGAGAGAGAGAGAGAGAGAGAGAGGCACACGGCAACUUCUCGGAUCGGACAGCUUUGGAAAACUGUGGCUUUGAAUUGGCAUGCACCAUUUCUCGAUGCCUAUUGCGCCCUUCCGCGCGCGGCGUGGGAUGGGCAGAAGGAUUCGCGAUCGAGAUAACAGGGGGUUCAAGGGGGGGUUGCAUACAGGCGCAUAUAGAAACUCACCCCCGUGACGUCAGCGAGCUUUCGACCAAUCGUAUGUCUGCAUUCCACCAACGUCAUCACCUCCCCCGUUGUGACGUGCAUUCCGAAGGAGAAGAGGGGGGAGAUACAAGGGUUCGGUAACAGGGUUAUCGUGGUGCACGAGGGGUGGGGGAUGAGAUGGCGACGGAAGUGGCGGUAACGGAAGGUGCAGGAUGACAAGAAUGAGGGGUACGCCAUAUUUUGACCCAAUUAACUGGAUUAAACGACUGCUGCGAAAAUUUCGUUCCUUCGGGCGCGCCUCCACGCUUUACUAAAUUAUAUUUUAGAUAUAAACGUUUGUACAGCACGCGUGACAUUAUCGAAAUCUAUUCUAGGUAAAUCUUGAACAAAGUUAUUUUUUUAGUUAAAUAAUUUUCUGUACCAUUAAACGUUUUAAAUUAACGUGACUACAAUCUAUGUCUGCAAUACUUUUUUUAUUUCUCCAUGACAGAUAUUUUGUCUUUUUCAUGUAAUAGGAUUAAACACAAAGAAACGUUCUAAAUAACUAUAAGUGUCGUAAAUUUAAUUUUACGAUUCCUUUCUUCAAAGUUCUCACCUCUCAUUGAAUUUACACUAUGCGACAGGAGAACGUAGACCUAACUCACUCGAUCGAGUCCACCGAGUGAAAAGUAGGGCAAUGAUGGUGACGGCUAGAGAUGCGUCAUAUCGCAAUGAGAUUUUAGUGCAGACUAUCGAAAUAUCGAUCAAUAUAAAAAAAUGCUUGGGCAAAAUAUAUCUGUAGCUUUUUGUUUGGCGAUAAAUAUGGUGGAAAAAUGAAUCUAUUGCAAUUACACAAACUUCUAAAAGGAAAAAAAAAACAAGUUCGAGUACACUUAAAAAUUAAAAUUUACGUAAUAAAAUAAAGGAAUACAUAAAAUUUCACGGACCUCUUUUAAUUUCAAUAGUUACUUUGUACUUUUUCUCGAAGAAUAACAUAAAAUAAUGAGAAAAUCACGAAAUGUAGCAAAAUUGUUUUUCUCAACGGAGGAUAGGAGAAUUGAAUUUUUUUGUUUCGUAACAUUCUGACCUCUCAAGCGAACAAGAGUAAGGUCGCUGCACUCUCACUCUCGCAAGGAAGCAGCGACUAUAGCAACGGUGGUUUUCCGAAACGUGGGCGUCUCGUCUGUUGAGAAUUCUGCGUAGGCGUUUGUUUGGGUCUAUCUUGAACCACGUGCCGCUUUCUCGCAGUAAUGCGUUUUUUUUUUAUAUUUCCAAUAACCGUGCAAUGCAACAUUUCAAUGAUAAAAUUCACUCUCGAUCUUUAAUCUUUCGAGAAUUAUUAUAUUUGGAAUGUGCAUAAAUUUUUAAUUCUGUGAGUUAAAAGGACUUUCGUUAUUACAUAUUAUCGUCGAAUAUUAAAACUGCAACGCAUUUUCAAUGCGCACGUGCUGACUACGUUUGAUAAAACUAACUAAAAUUAUAACUUAUUAAUCUAAAUUAUUCGACGAUUUAAAAUCUGAUUUAGAAGUGCCGAUAUUAUAGGUUCAAAUAUUACCUAUGAUAAUUUACUUUCCAAGGAGCAAGGAUGUAAUAUUUUGAUAGAGACAAGAAAUUAGGAAGAUUCUUUUACACAGCAAUUGUUUUAUUCAAAAAGGUUGAAUUUUUAAUUAGUAAAAAUUAUGGAGAUUAAAUUUAUGUGUAAUAGAAGAAAAGUUAAUUCUUAGACAAAAUUUACUAUGAGAAUAGAAACGAAUAAAAGUUUCUUGGCUAUUGCACACCACUUACCCUUUUUUAGAGCACCGCAGUUCACGAUAAAUCAGAUUUGUUAACGUGUUUCAUUUCUUCCUUUUUGCAGAACAUCUCUUCUUCACCGUCUCUACUGGUCCAAAUCCCUCGCACAGGACAUACUUUAUUUCCUAGUAUUUUCUAAAGUUGGAGUUUUUUUAAUCUGAUUAUCGUAAUAACUCUGAUCGAGUUGCCUUCUGGAUUUGUUCGCGGGCCGUACCGUAAUAGCACUUAUGAUUCAAAGAAUCAUCGUAAAUGAACUCGACUUUCUGUUAGGAAUCGCUCGGCGAAAGCAAAGUGAACAAGCCGUCGAGCGGAGCGCGUCGAACCGCUCGAAUUCACGCCUGUCAGUGAUCGAGGCCGAACUGCAGUCGGGCCAAAGUCCGAUGGAACUCGCCGAGUUUCCACUUGGACCCCGAGGCUGGCAGGUUUGAAUGGAGCAGAGUCGCGAUUGGUCGGGAUUGGCUGACGGUGACGAUGACGUCAUUACAUUGAUUGUCCCGCGCAUGCCGCACCACGUGGCUCCCCGAAGAUCUCGUCCUCUUCCUUUUCCUCCCGUUGGUUCUCUUUUUACCCUCCAGCCUGUCGCUCCACUGGCCUGGGUAAAAAGUACUUGCAGAAUAUGUAGAAGAGAGAAAGAUUUUUCUACUAAGCUGUCAUCUUUUGCUAUUUUGCUGAUAAAUGAGAUAUUUUUUUAAAUUGAGGAUUUCAAUAAAUGACAUCUGCAAUUAUAAUUAAAAUAUUGCAUAAUUAAAUAUUGUUUAAUUUUGUAUGCUUUGCACUUACAUCGCUCUCUUUCCCGUAGAUUUAUUGCAAUAUUUAUUUCUAAUUUUAUUUAAUAAUAUGUAUAACCUUGAUUGUAUUUUUAAUAAAGAACUCGUGCGUAACUUUUUCUAUCAAAGAGUAUAUAUAAAAAUAUAGGUAUUAUUAAAUAAAAUAUAUUAAAUGUAAAUAUUGCAAUAAAAUUACAAAAAGAGAGUGGCAUACAAACCAUACAAACUCAGGCAAUAUUUAAUUAAUUAAAAUAAUAAAGCA